UACAGAGGGUGCAAGCGUUAUCCGGAUUCACUGGGUUUAAAGGGUGCGUAGGUGGAGUGGUAAGUCAGUGGUGAAAUCUCCAAGCUUAACUUGGAAACUGCCGUUGAUACUAUCAUUCUUGAAUAUCGUGGAGGUAAGCGGAAUAUGUCAUGUAGCGGUGAAAUGCUUAGAUAUGACAUAGAACACCGAUUGCGAAGGCAGCUUGCUACACGAUCAUUGACACUGAGGCACGAAAGCGUGGGGAUCAAACAGG
rnacentral:rRNA from 1 species